CAGCAGCCGCGGUAAUACAGAGGGUGCGAGCGUUAAUCGGAUUUACUGGGCGUAAAGCGUGCGUAGGCGGCUUUUUAAGUCGGAUGUGAAAUCCCUGAGCUUAACUUAGGAAUUGCAUUCGAUACUGGGAAGCUAGAGUAUGGGAGAGGAUGGUAGAAUUCCAGGUGUAGCGGUGAAAUGCGUAGAGAUCUGGAGGAAUACCGAUGGCGAAGGCAGCCAUCUGGCCUAAUACUGACGCUGAGGUACGAAAGCAUGGGGAGCAAACAGGAUUAGAUACCCCCGUAGUCCCUGUCUCUUAUAA
rnacentral:rRNA from 1 species